UGAGGAAUAUUGGUCAAUGGUCGCAAGACUGAACCAGCCAUGCCGCGUGCAGGAAGACGGUCCUAUGGAUUGUAAACUGCUUUUAUACAGGAAGAAACCCUCCCACGUGUGGGAGCUUGACGGUACUGUAGGAAUAAGGAUCGGCUAACUCCGUGCCAGCAGCCGCGGUAAUACGGAGGAUCCAAGCGUUAUCCGGAAUCAUUGGGUUUAAAGGGUCCGUAGGCGGUCUUAUAAGUCAGUGGUGAAAGCCCAUCGCUCAACGAUGGAACUGCCAUUGAUACUGUAAGACUUGAAUGCUUAGGAAGUAACUAGAAUAUGUAGUGUAGCGGUGAAAUGCUUAGAUAUUACAUGGAAUACCAAUUGCGAAGGCAGGUUACUACUAAGUGAUUGACGCUGAUGGACGAAAGCGUGGGGAGCGAACAGGAUUAGAUACCCUGGUAGUCCACGCCGUAAACGAUGGAUACUAGCUGUUCGGCGCAAGUUGAGUGGCUAAGCGAAAGUGAUAAGUAUCCCACCUGGGGAGUACGCACGCAAGUGUGAAACUCAAAGGAAUUGAC
rnacentral:rRNA from 1 species